rnacentral:rRNA from 1 species
UGGCACUGAAACACGGGCCAUACUCCUACGGGAGGCAGCAGUGAGGAAUAUUGCACAAUCGACGCAAGUCGGAUGCGAUAACGCCGCGUGGACGAUGAAGGCCUUCGGGUUGUAAAGUCCUUUUAAGAGGGACGAGGAAGGACGGUACCUCUUGAAUAAGUCUCGGCUAACUACGUGCCAGCAGCCGUGGUAACACGUAGGAUGCGAGCGUUAUCCGGAUCUAUUGGGCGUAAAGCGCAUGCAGGUGGCUAGGUAAGUCGGGUGUGAAAGCCCCGGACUUAAUCCGGGGAGGUCAUUCGAUACUGCUUGGCUUGAGAGCGGGAGAGGGAAGUGGAAUUCUCGGUGUAGUGGUGAUAUGCGUAGAUAUCGAGAGGAACACCAGUGGCGAAGGCGGCUUCCUGGCCCGUAUCUGACACUAAGAUGCGAAAGCGUGGGUAGCAAACGGACUUAGAUACUCCGGUAGUCCACGCUGUAAACGAUGGGUACUAGGUGUAGGGGGUGUAAAACUCUCUGUGCCAUAGUUAACGCACUAAGUACCCCGCAUGGGGACUACGGUCGCAAGGCUGAAACUCAAAGGAAUUGACGGGGGCCCGCACAAGCAGCGGAGCGUGUGGUUCAAUUCGAAGAUACACGAAGAACCUUACCUGGGCUUGACAUGUUGGUAGUAGUGAAGCGAAAGCGGAACGAUCCUUCGGGAAGCCAUCACAGGUGCUGCAUGGCUGUCGUCAGCUCGUGCCGUGAGGUGUUGGGUUAAGUCCUGUAACGAGCGCAACCCUCGCUGCCAGUUACAAGUGUCUGGCGGGACUGCCGGUGACAAACCGGAGGAAGGUGGGGAUGACGUCAAGUCAGCAUGGCCUUUAUGUCCAGGGCUACACACACGCUACAAUGGCCGGUACAAUAGGUUGCCAAGUCGUGAGGCGGAGCUAAUCCUCAAAACCGGUCUCAGUUCGAAUUGCAGGCUGCAACCCGCCUGCAUGAAGUUGGAGUUGCUAGUAAACGCGCGUCAGCACUAGCGCGUUGAUACGUUUCCCGGGCCUUGUACACACCGCCCGUCACGUCAUGGGAGUUGUUACACCUGAAGACAGUGGGCU